AUGUUUUUAACAUCAUUAAAGUCCUCUCUGUCCCACAGAUGCCUGAACGCGAAGAUAAACUUCAGGGAGAAGGAGAAACAGAUCCUGGACCAGAUCCUCGGGCCGGGGCGGUACGACGCGCGUAUCCGGCCCUCCGGGAUCAACGGAACUGGCGAAGCUCCCACGUUAGUGCGAGUCAACCUGUAUCUCCGAUCCAUCAGCAAAAUAGAUGAUUAUAAAAUGGAAUACUCCGUUCAGCUGACGUUCAGAGAACAAUGGUUAGACGAACGGUUGAAAUUCAACAACUUGGGCGGCCGGCUCAAAUACCUAACCCUCACGGAGGCCAACCGCGUGUGGAUGCCGGACCUGUUCUUCUCCAACGAGAAGGAGGGCCACUUCCACAACAUCAUCAUGCCGAACGUCUACAUCCGGAUCUUCCCCAACGGGAACGUGCUGUACAGCAUCCGAAUCUCGUUGACGCUGUCGUGUCCCAUGAACCUGAAGUUGUACCCGUUGGACAAGCAGACCUGCUCGCUCAGGAUGGCCAGUUACGGCUGGACGACAGAUGACCUGGUGUUCCUAUGGAAGGAAGGUGACCCAGUGCAAGUCGUCAAAAACCUACACCUACCGCGCUUCACACUCGAGAAGUUCCUCACUGAUUACUGCAACAGCAAAACUAAUACUGGUGAAUACAGUUGCCUGAAGGUAGACUUGCUGUUCAAGCGCGAGUUCAGUUACUACCUGAUCCAGAUCUAUAUCCCCUGCUGUAUGCUGGUCAUCGUGUCCUGGGUGUCCUUCUGGCUAGACCAGGGCGCGGUCCCAGCCAGGGUGUCGCUAGGAGUAACAACGCUCCUGACGAUGGCGACCCAGUCGUCUGGCAUCAACGCCUCCCUGCCUCCCGUCUCCUACACGAAGGCCAUCGACGUGUGGACGGGCGUCUGUCUCACCUUCGUCUUCGGAGCGUUGCUAGAAUUCGCUCUAGUGAACUAUGCGUCCCGCUCCGAUAUGCACAGAGAGAACCUGAAGAAGACGCGCAGGGAGAUGGAGGCGGCCACAGCGAACCUGGACGCUGCCUCGGACCUGCUGGACACUGACAGCAACGCCACCUUCGCGAUGAUGCGGCAGUGCGAGGUCCACAUGAACCCCGCGCGCAAGAACUGCUGUCGCCUGUGGAUGUCCAAGUUCCCCACCCGCUCCAAGAGGAUAGACGUCAUCUCAAGGAUCACCUUCCCGCUGGUCUUCGCCCUCUUCAACCUGGCCUACUGGUCAACCUACUUAUUCCGCGACGAGGACGAAGAGAACUGAUUCGCGCGCGACGCCGCCGCGGCCCCGCAGCACGCGCGGCUCGCCGCUGCCGUGCUCGCGCCCUACGCGCUCUUCGCGCUCGCCUACGCGCUCUUCCUCCGCCAACGGCCUCUAUCCGAAACCUUCUGUCCCUGCUACCGCCCUGGUACUUGUAAGGACUGGCGGAGCAAGCGGGGGUCGUCUCCGGGCUCCAGUAUUAUGCUCACUGUUAGGAUGGAGAACGAUGAGCGAGGGCGUAGGUCCUAACGCUAUUAGACUCGUGAAAAACUGUAGUUUCUGACUUGCUGGGAAAUAAGAAGUUUUUACAAGGUCAAAGUUCUCAUGAUCUUACUGCAGCUAACUGGUACGUUUUGCCCUAAUUAUUUGCACCUACUAGUAAAAUCUUAUAAUCGUAUGAGCGAGCGAAAAAGUCGUAAACACAGACUUUUGAGCUUAUAUUGUUUAACUGGAGCUGUGCCAAUUGGUUUAACUACUCUAAUAUAUCAGACCAGUAUCUACUUACUACUCAGUACUUCGUAGCAAGAGCAUAGGUACGAAUUAAUUGAGAUUGAGGGACACAAGAUUAGUUAGGUUAGGUUAGGGACAGUAGGACUAACGAGAGGCAUUAGUUAGU